rnacentral:rRNA from 1 species
UACGGAGGGUGCAAGCGUUGUCCGGAAUUAUUGGGUGUAAAGGGUGCGCAGGCGGAAGCUUAAGUCGAGGGUGAAAGACAACCGCUCAACGGUUGCAGUGCCUUCGAUACUGAGUUUCUUGAGUUCAGAAGAGGUUGGUGGAAUUCGUGGUGUAGCGGUGAAAUGCUUAGAUAUCACAAAGAACUCCAAUUGCGAAGGCAGCUCACUGGGGUAUAACUGACGCUGAUGCACGAAGGUGUGGGUAUCAAACAGG